UUAAAUUAAUUUGUUAUGCUUAUUCAAUUAAAACCCUCAACCUACUGAAGCAUGAUAGAUUGAUACUCCCGCAAAAACCCACAAAAUUAAGCAGCUGUCCACGCACGCAGAGUCGCCGCUACACAUCUACACCACCGCUCUGUUGCACCGGCCGCCUUCCGACUGCUUCCCAACCUUCGGUGGGUGCCGGCUUCCAAAUUCUGAGGUCUACUAAGGCCUUGAUGUCAAGUCCGCAAAGUCCUCACCUAGUGAUAUAAAGGUGCCUUUGAUUCGGUUUUUUCAGAAGAAUUAGUUGUUGGUUGAAUUCAGAUACUGAAGUUCCUCUAGUUGUGGGAACAGUACAUGAUUUUGGAUUCUUCUGAUAUGACGUACAAUAGAUCCGAUUUUUGAGCUACGAAAAGAUACCUCUUACCCCCGAGGCAAAAUUUGUUGGGCUUGAAAUCAGGGUUUCGGCAAUGAUAGCGGAGAAAAGUUAGCUCUCACUGUUUCCCGCUUUUGUAAUAGCAAUGGCGAGCAGUUUCCUGAAUGGGAUAUUCUUCUAAGAGUUGGCUGCCAGUUCAACUUAAUACUGACCCAAUGCUAGCUGCUCAAGAACCCUUGGCAUGCUUGGUGAACAUGAAGCAACUAAUACACGAGAGCUCGCCCCUUCUCCUGUGAGUGAGCAAACUAGCAGCCGGUGGAAGGGCCCGCUAACUACUCCAUACAAGCUGAACACAGACGCUGCUACAUCGGUGAGAAUGACAGGGUUGGGUAUGGUGGUCCGAGACAAAGUAGGUGACGUGCUAAUGGCUGCAGGCAUGAGGAUUGAUGCUGCUCUACCAGCUCUUCAAGCUGAAGCUGAAGCAGUACGGUUUUGGCAUGAGUAUGCUUAUGAAGCAGGCUACCGCUCCCUUGAGGUUGAAACUGAUUCCCUUGCGUUACUAAAGCUACUGCAGAGGACGGUUAUCUAAUUCUGAAAUUCUAAUUGUAAUAUAUAGAGGACGGUUUUAGAAUUAGAAUUAGAGCUGAUUUGGCCAUUAUUUGUAAUAUAUAUAGAAUUAGAAUUUGUAAUAUAUAUAUAUAUUUUUUUUAUAAAAAAAAAGAUGGAAUAGAGGAUGGUUAUCUAAGAAAAUCGUCCU